AGCGAACGGGGAGGAGCCCAGAGCCUGAAUCAGUGUGUGUGUUAGUGGAAGCGUCUGGAAAGGCGCGCGAUACAGGGUGACAGCCCCGUACACAAAAAUGCACAUAUUGUGAGCUCGAUGAGUAGGGCGGGACACGUGGUAUCCUGUCUGAAUAUGGGGGGACCAUCCUCCAAGGCUAAAUACUCCUGACUGACCGAUAGUGAACCAGUACCGUGAGGGAAAGGCGAAAAGAACCCCGGCGAGGGGAGUGAAAAAGAACCUGAAACCGUGUACGUACAAGCAGUGGGAGCCUCUUAAUGGGGUGACUGCGUACCUUUUGUAUAAUGGGUCAGCGACUUAUAUUCUGUAGCAAGGUUAACCGAAUAGGGGAGCCGAAGGGAAACCGAGUCUUAACUGGGCGUUAAGUUGCAGGGUAUAGACCCGAAACCCGGUGAUCUAGCCAUGGGCAGGUUGAAGGUUGGGUAACACUAACUGGAGGACCGAACCGACUAAUGUUGAAAAAUUAGCGGAUGACUUGUGGCUGGGGGUGAAAGGCCAAUCAAACCGGGAGAUAGCUGGUUCUCCCCGAAAGCUAUUUAGGUAGCGCCUCGUGAAUUCAUCUCCGGGGGUAGAGCACUGUUUCGGCAAGGGGGUCAUCCCGACUUACCAACCCGAUGCAAACUGCGAAUACCGGAGAAUGUUAUCACGGGAGACACACGGCGGGUGCUAACGUCCGUCGUGAAGAGGGAAACAACCCAGACCGCCAGCUAAGGUCCCAAAGUCAUGGUUAAGUGGGAAACGAUGUGGGAAGGCCCAGACAGCCAGGAUGUUGGCUUAGAAGCAGCCAUCAUUUAAAGAAAGCGUAAUAGCUCACUGGUCGAGUCGGCCUGCGCGGAAGAUGUAACGGGGCUAAACCAUGCACCGAAGCUGCGGCAGCGACACUAUGUGUUGUUGGGUAGGGGAGCG
rnacentral:rRNA from 1 species